rnacentral:rRNA from 1 species
CAGUCGCCACGGGAAUACGUAGGGGGCAAGCGUUAUCCGGAAUUAUUGGGCGUAAAGAGUGCGUAGGUGGUCUACUAAGCGCGAGGUGAAAGGCAAUGGCUCAACCAUUGUUAGCCUUGCGAACUGGCAGACUUGAGUGCAAGAGAGGAAAGCGGAAUUCCUAGUGUAGCGGUGAAAUGCGCAGAUAUUAGGAGGAACACCGGCGGCGAAGGCGGCUUUCUGGAUUGUAACUGACACUGAGGCACGAAAGCGUGGGUAGCAAACAGGAUUAGAUACCCCCGUAGUCCCUGUCUCUUAUACU